rnacentral:rRNA from 1 species
UCCCAAGGGUAUGGCUGUUCGCCAUUUAAAGUGGUACGCGAGCUGGGUUUAGAACGUCGUGAGACAGUUCGGUCCCUAUCUGCCGUGGGCGCUGGAGAACUGAGGGGGGCUGCUCCUAGUACGAGAGUUUUUGCUCAUUAUAUAAUCACUUCGUGGUCUUACUCCUAAACACAGGCUAUUAAAAUAAGCAUUAAAUGCGUUCUUGCUCAAGAUUAUUCCUGUCAUGAGUUAAGAUUACAUUAUUCUAACACUUUG